ACCCGAAAUGUCGACCAACAAUGCAGCAAGUGGUGAACCGAUUUGAAGAGGGCAGGCGAGAACCAACUAGGCCUUUGCACACCAUUGCUGUGAAUCAGCUUGUUAGUCCACCAGUACUUUCACUGCGUGACCAAACCUGCGCAGAUGGGACGAGUAGCUUAAGCACCAUAAAUGAAUUCCAUGUGGAUGUCUCUGCGACUCUGCCAUCAUCCAAUUUUUCUGUCCAUGCUUCUACCUAAACAACUUUGACAUUUGGUAGGAAACAGAAUAAGAUCGUGCUUUGCAAAAUGGAAACUUGGCCAAGCACUUAGAUUGCUGCUACAUACUGCCAUUUGGUGUGCUAAUGACAAAAAAAGGUGUGCUAAUUAAUGAAGAAGUAGUUUAAGCACCAUGAAUGACUCUCAAGUGGAUAUCUCUGCCAUAUCCAAUUUUUCUAUCGAUGUUUCUACCUACCUAUGAUAUUUAUAGCGAAGGAGAAUUUACUACUUGUCUUUAUUUAUGUAGGUGAAUUCUAGGCAGAGCAACACUUACCAAUCUAACAAUUUGCAAUUCCAAGUCUAGAUUUAAAGAAAUAUUGGUUUAAGGAUUCAAAUAUACAAAACUCAUGCCAAAAAUGAGAUGAUCAGGUCAAUCCAAAGUUGUAUUUAAAAAAAAAUAAAUUUGCAUAAAUUCUAGCUUGCAUAACCUAUAGGGAUAAUUUUAGAAACCUCCCUUGAAAUUUUUGACAAUUGCAGAGACCUCCCCUCAAGUUUAUUAAAUUACACCUACCUCCCUUGCUUUUACUAUUUAUGUAACAAUAUAGGCCCAAAAGACUAUAUUUUUUCUCAAAAAUUCUAAACUACCCUUUUUGUACAAAAAUAAAACAAAAAUUAUGUUGCCAAUUGCUUUCUUUCAUAUUUCAACCAAACCCAGUGUACUAACAAACUAACCUAACAAAUAGUCUAAUUCCAAAUUCUAAACCCAAGUAAUUCCAUCAUCAUAGUCAUACAAUUACUUCUCCUAAAGCAUGCAUUCAAUUUUGAAGAUUCGUUCCAUUUUUCAAAAAUAUUCUCACCAUAUGGUUAUGACAAGUGCCAAACCUGUGCAAUAAUAAUUAUUAAAAAGUCCUAAUUACUACCACAAUUAAUUAUAGAACAAAUCCAAGUACUGGAGCAGGGAACCUAGGUGUGCAAUGGGUUACUUGAUUCACCCUAUUCCCGAAGAGUUUGCUUGAUCCGAUAUACCAGAUUUGUCUAUAAAAAUAUUAACUUUGCGUACAAUGGCAAGUAGGGUCGAUUCCACAGGGAGCGGGUAGGAAAUUAUUCUUUCCAAAUUAGUAGAACGGAAUUGGGGGAUUUUCAAUGGGAGGCAAAUAAAAAUGAAAUAAAACAACAAAAUUCAAAACUAACUCACAAAGCACAAAUUUACUAAAAAUAGCAAUUAAUAGAAGUUCUACCCAAAGGAUCAACUGCUCAGGCACGGUCCAAUUAAAUGAUCAUUGAUGCAAAGAUAUUUCACCCAUUCAUCACUAGGUUGGUUAUAGUUGUCAACAAGGUCUGACAACCAGUUCUUCCUUACUUUCUCGACAGUCAAGGUACGACCAUUGACUGCUUCUCUAACCAGAUAACAACCCUAGGUACGACCAUAGGAAUUUAAUUACCCAAUUGCAUUAAAGGUAGAAGAACCCAACCCUAACUAAUAAACACGCUAAGAGGGUUUAUUUAAAUUAGAUCUUACGUUUCCCCAACAUAAAGCCAAUUAUGGUGGUUGUCACUAGGUAUCAACUAAACGAACAAUUACGGAUUCAAUUUAGUUAAUGUGACAGUAGGCUAUUAAAUUAAAUCAAAUACCCGGCCGUUGAUAUUUAAUUAAUAAAAUACCCAUGAACAAUUAAUUCAGGAAACGCACGAAUAGUAAUAAUUUGGAAGAAAUAAAGAAGAUUCGAUUAGAUCUCACAGACAUUGUGGAUCGCGCCUUCGCGUCGACCUUUGGGUGGAGGAGAAAGCUAGCCGCUCCUCAUCGUGUCAAUCCCGCGUGAUUUAAUUGAAUUCAUUCAAUUAAUUUCUGAAGAAUUGGAAAGGUGAAACAACGAAGGAACAGUUCUUCGUAUUUUGCGUCUACGCUCGAGCCGCCAGCACAAGGGAAAUCUCACGAAAUUUAGAAGAGUCAAAAGUGAAAAGUGAAAAGGGUCUCGAUUGUACAGAGCCCAGAUGCAAUACGAAAAAUCUCCAAUGUCUGACCGCUAGCCGAAGAAGAAACAAAAGCAAAGAAAAGUGUCUAGCCAAAAAUUGCAAAAAGUAAAACUAAAGCUAAAAGAAGUGAUCCCCCCGAAUCUUGCUUUUUCCUCCUUUUUAUAGCCGCCGUCAGUAGUAUUCCUCCCAGGAAGAGGCUUUUGCCUAAGGGGCGCUGAUCCCACGCUUCAGGUUCACGUGGACCGGGGUCCGUCUUUUCGGUAGCAUCUACCUUUUCUGGCGUGGCCACGCCCUGAGAUGAAAGGUCUUCUGGAAAUUUACCUCAAGAUAUCAUUUUUAAUGCUAACCACCUACAAUUCACACAAACAUCAAAUAUGAGUGAAAUUCCAUUUCUUAACACCAUGAAUAGCCAAAAUUAGGACAAGAUGACAAUGCAAAAUAUUCCAAAUAACUGCUCUAUCAGGUUAUAUGGAAUGGUCAAAUUCACAAUCAACUGCCUUAUGUUUGCAUAAUUUUCAACAUAGAAUGCCAUGGUUUGGUUCCAUGUAAGUGGUUUAACUCCUACUACAUGAGUCACAUUUUGGUCUUGAAGAAAAUCCUUAGGGAAGGUUUAGGCAUGGAUGGAAUUAAUCAAGUUUAAGAAAAGGAAAGGCAUCAUUAUGACUAUAGAGAUUUUCAAGAAAUUCAUUUUGCCAAAAAUCAAAAUUCUAUUUCCAAUUAAUCACCCCACAAACUUGAAACCCAAUGCCCACACCUUCUCAAAACAAAAUAAUUUAGCAUACUAUUAAAUCCCCAAACAUGUUAACAUUUUAAAUACAGAGAAGAAACUCUAUCUCCAUAACGAAACCACAACCAACAAUUGUCAAGAAUAAAAAGAAAGACAUCAUAAAAAGUUUUUUGGAUGGAUGAUAGAUAAGUUAGCAAAUUUAUCAAUUUCAAUCCCUCUUCCUCUUUUCGCCAAUGAUUGCAUUAUUUGUUCCAUUAUUAUUGUGUGUCUCUUCAUUUCCUUUUAAUUUGACCAUUUACUUCAAUCAUCAAAUCUAAUCUCUCAACUAAACUUGUGAUUUGACAUUUUUAAAGAGAAGAAAAGAGGAAUAGAAAUAUAUAAUAGAGUUUGAGGGAUCACUUGUGGUAUGAUUGGCUGCAAUUAUAGGCAAUGGUUGGUGGUAAUUUGAGAGCGAAUUAUUGGAAGAAAGGGUUGAUGGAUGAAAAUAGAAUGAUAAUAAGCGAGAGAAUCGUCGUUAGCUGUAACUUGUAAACAGGAUAGCAAAAAAGGUUAAGUUUCUUUUUCUUUUUUUUUUUUAAAUCUCAUUUCAUUAUACUAUGAAUUAUUUAUUAAGUGAAGGUCAUUAUAGUCAUAUUAUUGAGACAAGGGAGGUUAGUGUAAUUUGUAAAAAAACGAGAGGAGCCGAGUGAAAUUGUCAUAAACCUCAAGGGAGGUUUGUGAAAUUAUCCCUAACCUAUAACCAAAUUUAAAAUUCGAACUCUAAAUAUGUAGCAUGCAUUUGCCUUUACUAGUUAAAAGAGAAAAAGGGAUUUCACACUUAAGAAAUUAUUGAAACAUAAAUGAUGCAAACUUUCUUUUAAAAUAAUUUUUUAAUAUAAAUGUGCGAGUUUUUAUCAAUCUCUAGUUUGCCAAAUAAACAUAGAAUGAUUUUCAAUACGAAUUUAUUAUAUCACCUAUUAGUUUUAAUUCACUAAACUCAACCGCAAAAAAGAAAAAACAUAAACAGCAAUUUUCGAAAUGUGGAACCUAUAUUCAGCGGGCUACUAUUUUGGUGCUUAUGACCCCAUAAGUCGAUUGCUGCGAUUUUUUGCUUCCUCCUAGGAAGCCCCAAAAGAAGAAAAAAAAAAUGAGUUUCCCGGUUGCUCAUCAAUUGAGGAAAACGCUGGUGAUUCCUUUUUUUUUUUUUUUUUUUUUUUUUUUUUUUUUUUGAGGAAAAGGCUGGUGAUUCCUUAUUGCUUCCUGGAUUUUUAACCUAAAGUGUAUAAUAGCUUGAGAAAACGUUGUACUAUUAAAAGAAAUUCUGGACCACAUCAAGUACCCCAUAGUAUCCAAGUAAACAGCGAGUUGAUACGUGCAAGGAGGCAGGGGCGGUGGCUGUUGGGUUGGAGUGGAGUGGACAUUUGCGUUGGGUUAGUGGGCUUAAGUUGUUUACAGAAUGGUUGGUAAAAAAAAAAACUAUGGUUGGGUUUACAGAUGGUUGAUGAUAGUGUUAUACCCAGUAUUCCUGGUACGCAUUCAGAAUCUGCUUCUAAGAGUAGAACUGAUAAUUUGAGUAAUCUUGACCUUUCUUGAUAUGUGAACCAAGGAAUGCCUCUGCCUGGAUGUAUUGUUCACCAAGAAACCUAGUCUCAUGUUUCUGGCAGAUUGGAUGAUCAAAAUGGUUCUUGCAAAUAUACUUUUGGAAGAAAUUGGUGGCCACCUUCUGGUUCGUUUGCCGCCAACCAUCCAGUUUGACCUGCUUAUGGAAGAAGUUGGAGGCCAUGAUAAUUGAAUGCAGGAUCUGUAAACUGCUGUAAUGUAUAUAUUGCUCCUCAUAGUCGAAAUAGUGAUGCCUGCCUGCUGACAAAUUGACCAUAUUAGCUUUUGGAAUUUGAAUCUUGCGAGUCUGGAUUCUUUUCUGGUUGCUUGCAAGCUUCUUAACAUACAUUGCAGGAUUAUACUUCUUGUACAUGUAAAAAUUUUCAGGAGGUGCGAAAAAAGGCACUCGAGUUAUAAUUCUAUUUUAUAACAAAAAAUGCAAAAAUAAAUAAACAAUUAUUAUGUAGUUAGCCAAUUUGGCUUUUCUUUUCUUAGCUAGCUAUGUGUUCCAAAGCAAACAUUCUGGUAUAAAAAGCUAUAUGUGCAAGUAUUGCGCAUGAAUGGAAAUAUAGAAACAUAUUAGUAGAGGGCUAAUAGAAAGUUAAGUUAUGGUAUAGAUGUUAUGCACUUAUUAGGUUAGAUCCCAUCUCCCUUUAAUUUUUUUAUUAUUAGAAAAUGAUAAACAGUAUUAGCAGAUGUAGUUUUGUAAGUUCCAUAGAAAACCUUAGGGCUUCACACUGUUAUAAUUUUGUUAAAUUUUUGGACAAUUUUGCUCUCCCUUUACUCCCAUGACGGUGAAGUUUUACAAUUUUUCUUCCUAUCCAUCCCUUCACCCAUGAUCCGAUAUCACUACUCCAAAACCCAAACAUCCAAUACCAAUGCGAAUGCUUCACACUUUGGUAAAACUCUGGCAAAGGUAUCAGAGUUUCCAAACUUUGAACUCGAGCCAGGUGGUUUCAAUUGCUUCCUCAUUUCUGGCUUGAGAUUAGAUGAUCAAGCUAUACACAGUACACACCAAUUCUUAAAGAGCUUGGUACUCGAAGAAAUUCCGGAGAAGUUGAGAAGCAGAAACCAACCAUGAUAGUAAAGUGGGCAAGGGAAAGCCAUGCACACAUGCCCAUUGAUUGUCGACAAACCCUUAGUCAUCAUUUGGUUUUGAUUAGACAAAUAUGAACUCAGCAUUUGUUUCAUGUAAUGAUAGCCAUAAAGGAAUCUUGAAGGCUAGAAAGAUUUCUCGUGACUCUCUCAAAAGAAAGAAAGUUCUGAUGCUUCUUUUCUUUUUGGUCGUAACUUAGGUCAUUCUUGCUUUUAGUCUCCUAAACUGGCAAGCUAAGCCUUAAAUGCUAAAAUUUAUAACUAAUUCUUGUUUUAAAAUCUGCCCUUAGAAUUUAUUUACUCGAUCUUGGGAGGGGCUAAACUCUACAUCCUCCAUCUUAAGUCCGUAUUUGGAACAAUUUCUAAUAUUAAUGCUACAAAUUAUCUUUACUAACAGUACAAGCCAUUAAUGCAUUAAAGAGUACGUGAAUUUAGACUGUAGAGCCGUAGAAGUAUAGAUUUAGAUUUGAGAAGCACAAAGAGAAUAAUAAAUUAGAUUUGAGAAGCAUACGAGGAUGCUGGAGUUUGUUUUUAAACUAAAGUUUAGGAAAAAAAAAUGAAAGAAGAGGACAUGAAACAAAGUUGUUAGAUAUUAAGGGGAAGUUAAGUUUCCUCGGUGGGAAGAAAUUGUUAGAUAAAAGAUAUUUAAUAUUUUUUGUAAUGCCAGAAAGAAGAUGCCAUUUUUGCCUGUCGAACAAACAUCAUGUUAUUGGAGUAGAAAGAGACACUUUUAAACCAAAAUAUUACUGCUAAUUUUCUCCCAUUUCACGGUUCUCAAACAACAGAUAGGAAAGUUCUAAUAUUUCCUCUUUUCUUUUUUAUGGUAACUUAGGUCAUUCUUCCUUCUUUCGUUUUUAAUAACCUAAACUCACAAGCUAACCCUUAUCUGCUAAAAUUUACAAUUAAUUAUUUUGGAUAAAUUACAUUUUACCCCCUAUGAUUUAGCAUUUUUUACAUAACCCCCUAUGAUUUUAAAAAUUAUACAUAACCCCCUCAAGGUUUGGAUUGAAGUGUCAAAGUGACGGAAAUAGUCAUUCGUAACGGAACUUCUAAAAAUAUCGAAAUUACCCUUAUAAAUACAUGACACACUAACCCCCUCAUGGUUUAAUACUUUAUCAUAUAACUCCCUUAUAGUUUAAUACUUUACCAUAUAACCUCCUUAUAGUUUUUAAAAUAUACAUAUAACCCCCCUUGGUUAAUAAAUAAUUUUCAACUUUACAUAAGGAUAUUUUAGAUAUUUUAGAUUACUCCGUUACGAAUGAUCAUUUCCGUCACUUUGACACUUUAAUCCAAACCAUGAGGGGGUUAUGUAUAACUUUUGAAACAAUAGGAGGGUUAUGUAAAAAAAGCUAAACCACGUACAGGGGGUAAAAGUGGAAUUUGCCCAAUUAUUUUUUAAAAGCUGUGCUUAAUAUAUAUACUCCUUAGAAUGGAGAACCAUAAGAGGAUAAUGGAGUAUGUUUUUAAAUUGAAAAAGAAAAGGUUACGAGUAGUUUCCUUUUAAUUGUACCACAUUUGUUGAUUUUUGGCAAACCAUAUCAAUUCAUCAGUUGAAAUUCAAUUAGUAAAAUUCUCUGCUUGUUAAAAGUUCAAAGUAGUAAUGGAAGAUUUCUUGUAUGUAUAGUUUUUUCCCCUCUUGUUGAAGAUUGUCUAUAAUUCUUUUGCUUUAUAUAUAAGAACAGUCACUACAGUUAAUGGCAUUGAUAAGAACAACGUACACUUCAAGUUUGAAGACGGACCUUGACUCUCAAAAGUGGAAUCAACUAAUCCAGACUGCAUUGCGAGUCUUCAAGUUUGAGGGCCAGUGUGUUUAAUGGCAUUUCUAAGAAAUUCCACACAACAAUUCUAGUGGAAAACGGAUCUUUGGCUCUCAAAAGCGGAAUCAGAUCAAUUCCAAGUGCUCUCGUUUAACUCUCCAUAUGUAGUCUUUAAAUCCAGACUAUCUACGGGACUUGAGGCUUUCUGUUCCCUCAGGUAUUGUAAGGCUUGUAGUAUCGGUAAGGUUUUGAUCAUGGUUUGUAGGUUAACCAUGAGUUUAACUUGAAGCCAUGAUACCAAAAGAGAUUGUAGAAUCUCUCACAAUUAUAUCAGCAUAAGUUUACAAUGUGUUAUAGAUUUUCAGAAUAACUAAAUGUCUACAAUGAGUAGACCACUUUAUUCGAUGUUAAAACAAUUUAAAGAGGAAUUAUCUACAAUUUGUUUUUAAUUGCAAUAAUUAAAAGGUCAUCUAAUGGUAUAAACUAACAUAAUGAUUAAAACUAUGCAUAAAAAUUGUAUAAAAGUGCACAAUAAUAAAAAUUAUGCAUUGAGGGCUAGAUGUAUGGUUUCAUAUACGCAAUAGGCAAAUAAUGUAUACACAAUUUAACUAUCAAAUGAACGUUUAGUUAACUUGUAAUUCAUAAGGUUAAGAAAAGUUUAAUGUUAAGUGCAUAAGAUUUGUUAGAAACAAAAUAAAAAUAGCAUUGUGUAACAUAUUUUAUUUUAAUGCUGCAUUGGUGAUAACUGUAUAAAAUUUUAUACUCAAAUGUAUGCAUUCCAAAAGUGUCAAUUUUACAAUUCUUAGUAUAUAAUUAUGUUUUGAUCCACAGUAUUAUUAAAAAGUCUUUCAACACAAUAGAUGUAGUCCCGUUAAAAACGCGGGUUAAGAACUAGCUUAAAUAAAAGUUAAACCAUACAAGAGUAUUUCAUUUGAUAGGUUGGCUAGCCAGUGUCUAAGGGUACGCGUUAUUGAUUAAAAGGGUGUCUCAGCUGUUAAUAUGUUGACAAAAGUAAGUGACUGUGCAUUCAUCUUGUAAAUGCGAUUUAAAUGUUUUAACGAGUUUCGCCAUUCAUUAAAAAUCCUUAAUACAGUCAUCCUUGAGAGUGCAGCUCCCUUUAAAUUAAGAAAAGGAAGAACAAGACCUGGUCAAGAAACAAAAAAGUCUUCCACGUGUUUAAGCCCCGCAGAAAAGUCUUCUAAGAAAUUUUGCACAACAAUUGCAGUGAGCUUGACUCUCAAAUGUGAAAGCAAAUCAAGGCCAGAAAGACCGCGUUACAAGCCUUCCUUGGUCGCCCUAAGACGCAGACAGGAAAGACCUUGACUUUGGGCCAAAAUCUACCAGUUUAGUCGAAGUUGAAUUUAGUAUCUAUACCAGUUAAACGAAUAACCGUGUAAUUAAAUUGUCUAAAUUUUGUCAAGAAAAGAAUUAUUGACAAAAUAUCAAGAAAAGAAUUGCAUUUCGUGUUGCACAUUUUAAUUAAUUAUACUAACAAACAUUUAACUGUACACUUGUUGCCUUAGGUAUGCUAAAUCAUUACAGUUUAAACUCAAAUUAGUGUCUUAAUUAGUGUUCACAUGUACGCAAAUGCCAUGAACAAAGAUAUUUCAUGAAUUUGAUUGCCCAUAGAAGGCAAAAGAGAUUGAAAAAAAAAAAGGUUGCAUACCGGUAUUGAAUUACUGGCAUCAAAAUGUACUUUUAAGACCUGAAUAUUGCUCCCUUUCUGAGAUACAAUUAGAUACAAUUUGAUUUUUUUUAGAAAUCUGUCCUUAGAAUUUAUAAUUUACUCUUUAGCACAAAGAGCAAUAAUUAGAUUCGACAACCAUGUGAAGAUGAUGGAGUCUGUUUUUAAAAUUUUUUUUUUCAAAAAAAAAAAAAAAGGUUGUGACAGGUUGUCGAAGCCUGUGCAAUAAUAAAACCUGCUCAAACUAAAAGUGAUUUCUGUAGAUAGCGGUGAGCAGGGUCGAAUCCACAGGGACUGGGAGUAAUUAUUUCUUUUCAAGUUCACAGUGACAAGGGGGGUGUUUUUGUGCAGAAGGUGACAAUCAAAGAAAUUCAAAUAAAAUCUAAGAAACUACUAAAAAUUAAAUAACAAAUUACUAAAAUCUAAUGAGUGAUAAUUAAGGAUCUAGCCAAGGAAAAACUUCAGCAAUGGUUCACCUAAUUGAUCAUCGAUGCAAAGCCAAUUCCAAUUAUUUAUCAAUAAAUAGGUUAUAACUACUAAACAAGCGAUGGCAGCCAACCCCUCCUUACUGUGUCGGUGAUCAAGGUACGCCCGUUAAUCACUGCUCUAAUUGAGAAAUAAUCCUAGGUACGCCCGUAGAAUUUAAUUCCCCAAUUGCCUUACGUAUUAGAGGAGCCCUAUUCUAACCAAAUAACGCACUACCAGGGUUAUUUUAGAUUAGCCCGCGUAUUCCCCUGACACAAACCUAAUCAUGCCAGUUGUCACUAUUUUAGAGCAAUUAAACAAUUACGGAUUUAAUGCCCUAAUUGACAAUAGAUUAUCCAAUCAACUAAUUAUCUGGAUCCAAGACAAUUAAUUAAUUAAAUAAUCAUAAGCAUAGCAAUCAAGAAAUAUGCGAAUACCAAUAAAUAAAAGAAAAAGAUAAAAUUAGAUCGAUCUCACAAUUUUAGAUGACCCAAAGCAUCCGUUGUCCCUUGACUAGACAAAGGGAAUUAGUUCAUUUUCCGUGAACAAAUCCCACAGGAAAGUGAAGAAACGAUCCCAACCAUUAUUCUUGUUCACGAGACUUCACCUUGACCGACUGAAUAAAGAAAAGCUUGGAAAACAAUGAUUGAUUCAAUUCUUCAAAGAGUCCCUGUCAUGCGUGGACUGAAGCUUCCUAAGAGACAAAAGAAAGGUCAAAGCUCUCUAAGAAAGCUCCUCACCUACGUGAACUGGAGCUAAAGCUAAACACUAGUCUAACUACUACGCUACAGGACGAAAAGAGAAAAAGGUAAUGCCCUCUCUCUGCAAUUACAAUUUGCCUGUUCUAAUCCUUCGCUCUCCUGUGCGGCGGCUCCCCUUCCGGAGAGGAAGAAGAAGACCCCUGACUUCAGCCCUUCGUUCCUCUUUUUAAUGCUUUUGUCUUCGGCAAUUACUAAAAUGGGCACAAGUUUGCCUUUGCCAACAAUGCCCCUGGGAUAAGCUCUGUGCCUUAGACUUCUUUUCUAUCAAAUUGGCACUUGUUAUCAUAUUUUCGUUCUACUCCCUGAAAUAUAUGCCAAACACUAAAAAUGAGUAGAAUCCAGCAAUUAAUCCACAUCGGGUCAGGUAAUAGGGAAAAUUAAUAAUAAAAUAAAUGAUAAAAUUACACCCUAUCAGGUUGCGAAUAAUUUCUUUCCGAUUGAACCGCUUUUGGCAAAGGUUACCAAAUCUAGCUCUGAUUUUUUCUCAAAAGUGGAAUCAACUCAGGACCACAAAUGCUGCUGACUGCUCUGCAUUAAUUGCGAGUCUUCCAAAUUAAAAUGCUUUUAACAAUCCGUGUGAAUGAUGCAGAUUGGAAAGAUACUAUUUUAAGCGCGAGUUUUUCAAUCCUGACUACUUACUCAAGGCGGGCGCUUACAUUUCAUCUAUCUUAUCUUAAUUACCCUCUUUCAUGGUCAAUUACGGUCCCACUACUUAAAUUAUUUUUUAUUUAGGAGUCCAAUUCUAUCUGUCUUAUCUUAAUUACGGUCUUUCAUGGUUAAUUACGGUCCCACUACUUAAAUUGUUUUUUAUUUAGUAGAAUCGUAUACCUGUUAGGAGUCCAAUUCUAUCUUACAUUUCAUCUAUCUUAUCUUAGUUACGUUCUUUCAUGGUAAUAGAGCAUCGAUGGAUGUUGUAUGCAGCGGAGUUGUUCUUCUCAUGAUACUGGCUAUUGCACCAGUUGCAGUAGCAGCAGCAAAGGAGUCUGCCGUGAAUUUAUUGGAAGCUGAAGCAUUGCUCAAGAGUGGCUGGUGGCGAGGCAGUACUACUGCAACAAACGUCUCUGCCCAUUGCCAUUGGAAUGGUAUCGUUUGCAACGAUGCUGGUAGCGUUACCGAAAUACUACUUCCGGGCAGCGGAAUUUACGAUGAGUUGACAAAUUUCAGCUUCUCUUCUUUUCCGAACCUGGUUAGACUAGAUCUCAGCGAGAAUAAACUUCACGGCGCCAUCCCACAUCAAAUAGGUGCACUCUCCAAACUCACCCAUCUCAAUUUGUCUUUCAACAGAUUUGAAGGUGAGCUUCCCGUCUUCUCUAGUAAACCUUACGCAACUAGCACAGCUCGAUGUUUCUUGGAAUUCGAUUGACAGCUUAAUUCCUCCGGGUAUCGGAAACUUGACAAACUUGGUUGCUCUAGACUUGAGCCACGAUUUUUUUUUUGGUCCAAUCCCUCCAACUCUUGGCCACUUGUCCAAAUUAGCCUCUCUCGAUCUCAGUGGCAAUGGACUUAAGGAAGACAUCCCACAUCAAAUAGGUACACUUUUCAAACUCACCUAUCUCAAUUUGUCGAAUAAUUUUAUCGAAGGCUUUAUUCCCUCCUCCAUCGCAAACUUGACAAAUUUGGUUACUCUAGACCUGAACAACAAUUCUUUUUUUGGUCCCAUCCCAUCCAUCCUUGGCCAAUUGUCCAAUCUAGAUUUCCUGAACCUCAAUAUUAACCACUUCAGUGGGAUAAUCCCUCCAGCACUUUUUAAUUUGACAAAGCUUUCCCGGCUAUACAUUGGCAGGAAUCCCGCAAUAAGGGGAGUUCUCCUUGAAGAAAUAGGAAAUUUGAAGAUUUUACUUGAAUUAGACUUGAGUUACAAUGGUUUUUCUGGCAACAUCCCUCCAACCCUUGGCCAAUUAUCCAAUCUAGCCUCCAUUAACCUCAACAAUAACCACUUCAGUGGGACAAUUCCUUCAGCUCUUUUUAAUCUGACAAAUCUUUCCCGACUAGACAUUCACUCUAAUCCUGCAAUGGGAGGAUUUCUCUCAGAAGAAAUAGGAAAUUUGAAGAGUUUAGUUAAAUUAAACUUCAGUGGCCUUAAUCUUUCAGGUGCCUUUACUUCAGCUCUUUGUCGCCUAACCAAACUAGUAUCUCUUUCAGGUGCUGAGAAUCAAAUUCAUGGUUCCAUUCCCUCUGAAAUAGGAAAUUUGAAAAAUUUGAAAUAUCUUUUCUUCGAGUCCAACCAGCUGACUGGUCAAAUCCCUCCGACCCUUGGCAGUCUGACUACUCUGAUUUAUUUGGACCUCUCUUCUAACCAAAUAAGUGGUUCCAUACCUCUUCAACUUUCCGUUAUACCUUCUCUAAAAUUUUUAGAUCUUUCCUCAAACCAACUUAGAGGUCCGAUUCCAUUUACAUUAAAUUUGGACACCUGGUCUAGAUUGAAGCAUUUAUAUCUACAAAACAACUCUUUGAGUGAUAUUUUUCCAUGGAAAAUUCUAGAUCUCCCUUUGUUACAGACAGUGGACUUAAGUCGUAACCGCAUUAGCGGAAAGAUACCAACCCAAUCGGAGUGGUACUUUUCGACUUUGGAUCUUUCCCACAAUAUUCUCUCUGGCACUGUCCCCUCGUCUCUUAUGCGACUGGGGGAAGUCGACCUGUCCUAUAAUGCUUUGGAAGGUGAACUUCCGUGUGAGCUUGUCAUUCAGUUUGGUUCAGAAAGAUUUGUCGGCAAUCCAGGCUUGCGUUACACUUCCACUCUUUGUGGUGUAUCUCCUCCUGUUAUGAAAAAUCACAGACAUCACCCCCCAUACUACAUCAUAGGUCUUGGCGUGUCCUUGUUGGUGUUCUCAUUAAUUGGCGGAUUAGUGCUUUUUAUCUUCUGCAAAACCAAAGUCAAGAAAGUGGAAGUUGAGCUGAUGGACAAUAAACAUGGAGACAUUUUCAGAAUAUGGAACUACGAUGGACAUAUGGCUUAUGAAGACAUAAUUAAAGCAACAAACGAUUUUGAUGUCUGUUAUUGCAUCGGGACAGGGGGGUAUGGUUCUGUAUACAGAGCGCGGUUGCCAAGUGGGAAAGUAGUGGCUUUGAAAAAGCUUCACCGUUUGGAAGGCGAGAAUCCAAAUUUUGACAAGAGCUUUAGGAACGAAGCCGACAUGCUAUCUAAAAUCAGGCACAGGAACAUUGUAACGCUCUUCGGAUUCUGCCUGCACAAGCGAUGCAUGUUUCUGAUUUAUGAGUAUAUGGACAGAGGAAGCUUGUUUUGUAUCUUGAGAGAUGAAACCGAAGCUGUGGAGCUGGAUUGGAUUAAAAGAGUGAAUUUGAUCAAGGGCAUUGCCAGUGCAUUGUCCUACUUGCAUCAUGAUUGUGAUCCGCCAGUCAUUCACAGGGAUGUAUCAAGCAACAACAUUCUUUUGAAUUCACAGCUCGAAGCAACUCUUUCUGACUUCGGAACCGCGAGGAUUUUGGAACUUGAUUCAUCAAAUCAAACAGUCAUUGCAGGCACCUUUGGCUACAUGGCACCAGGUAGGUUGCCUUGCUAUCCCAGAUCCCUUUCUGCUUUUCACCUUGUUUUUCAUAUUUUCUUGAUGCACAUAUUAGGCUUAACUUUCAAGGACAGAAAAGAAAAAAAUUCUUCCAACUGAAACGAUUAAUUUUUUUUUUUCGAAUAGUAAGUCUAGAGUUGUCCCAUUUGAGAUUAACUUUAUUUGUAUCCAAAUAUAUACAUACUUGUCAAUGCAGAGCUAGCCUAUACCAUGGUGGUCACUGAAAAGUCCGAUGUGUAUAGCUUUGGAGUUGUGGUGCUGGAAACGCUGUUUGGAGAGCAUCCACAAGAUUUCCUUUCUUGCAUAUCAUCACAACCCAAUGAACCAAUAAUGCUGAAGGAUCUUCUUGAUGCCCGUCUGCCCCCUCCGACUAACCCUUUGGUGGUUCGAAAUGUGGUUCUCGCGACAGCGUUAGCCCUGGAUUGCGUUAACGCAAACCCGAAAUGUCGACCAACAAUGCAGCAAGUGGUGAACCGAUUUGAAGUGGGCAGGCGAGAAUCAACUAGGCCUUUGCACACCAUUGCUGUGAAUCAGCUUGUUAGUCCACCAGUACUUUCACUGCCUGACCAAACCUGCGCAGAUGGGAGGAGUAGCUUAAGCACCAUAAAUGAAUUCCACGUGGAUAUCUCUGCGACUCUGCCAUCAUCCAAUUUUUCUAUCCAUGUUUCU
rnacentral:lncRNA from 1 species